UCUUUUUUCUUUUUUUUUUUUUUGUACUUUUUGUACUUUUCGUAGAGACAGGGUUUCACUGUGUCACCCAGGUUGGUCUCGAACUCCUGACUUCAAGUGAUCCACCCACCUUGGCCUCCCAAAGUGCUGGGGUUACAGGCGUGAGCCACCAUACCUGGCUUGUUUAAUGGACUGGAAUGAGGUUACGUAUUUUUAGCAAGAAUAGUAUAAAAAUGAUGUUGUGUCCUUCUUCGUACAUCAUAUAAAGGGGUUCAUGAUGUCAAUAUGUCUUAUUAUAUGAUAUUUCACUUGAUCACUUGCUUAGGGUGGUUUAUGCUGGUUUUUUCACUGUAAAGUUACUUAAUUUUUCCCUUGGUAGCAAAUAAGCAUUUUAAGUGAGAUAUGCUGAGACUACGCAAAUUCCGUUUCUCCUCAAAUCGUUGCCCACUAAUUUUAGCACCAAUCUGUGAAUCUUGUCUAUAACAGUUAUUUCCCCAAUGGUGGUUCUGUUUUCCACUUUCCUUUUAUAUGUAUUCUUUGGAAUUCUACUUAAGAAAGAGUUGUCCCUUCUCUCCUAUGUAUUCUUAAAAUUAUUUAUUUAUAUAACUAUGGACUUCUGGCUAUUACGUUAUUCUGUGGGUGAAAAUCCAAUGCUAUCAUUUUUUAUCUUGCUGCUCAAAUUCCUCUGUCUUUGGCCAUGGGAACACAUUUAUGCGGACUCCUAUGUCCUUUUGACAAGCCCAUGUCUUUUUUCUGUGCCUUUCCUUAUUUAUUGGCACUUUAAGAUGUUUCAGGUUUAUUUUGUGUUUGCCCUGCCUGAACUCUGGAAUCAACUGCUUGCUAGGGUGGCUUAGUUCCUUUUAUUGGACAAUGACAUUUAGAAACAAGAUACAGGUGCUGAGUGAGCUUAUUGCUACUGGGCUGUUGCUUUUAGGCCUUAUCAACAGACAGCGCUCAGUAAUAUACGUGUGUAUGCUAACCCAUUUAUAUACAUACAGCUAUAUUUCUGCAUCUGUCUAUCUGUGUGUCUGUGUGUGUGUAUAUAUGUACAUUUAAAAACAUGAGUUACUGCUAGCCUGAUUCCAAUCCAACAUCACAGGGUUCAUGCUGGCCUUCUCCUUUCUGUAUCCAUAACUGUUUCUCCAUCAAUGCGAUACCUCUACUACCCUCCUUUAACUUAGAAGAUAGUUACAUUUCAUAAUAAGCUCUAAACUCAUUCAUGGAUUGAUUUGGAAAUGGAUUUAUUCAUUUAGAAAAUAUUAAUUUGGCAUGUACCACGCUGAAGGCCGUGGGCUCUGGAGUAGAACUCUGGGUGGAUUACAAAGAAAUCUUAGGCCCUGCCCUCAGGUAGUUUAUGGGCUACAAGAAAACAUAUUAAAAGAAUACAGAGAGUAAGGACUGUUUGGAGAAACAACUAAAUUGCUCUGGGAGUGUAGAGGAAGGAGAAAUGCACUCCCAUUGAAAAAAUAAUGAAAGGCUUCAUGGAGAAGCUGUGGAUCUGUAAGGAUGGGGAGGAUAUGGAUCUGUAAAGAUUAGGGGAAAGCACUCAAGGAAAUGGGAAUAGCUUGAGUAAAAGCACAAAAAGGAACAGAAGUAAGGCAAGGCAUGUCAAGGAAACAGAAAAGCUGUGUGUCUGGGUGGGAAAUGGGUCCUGUGAGGGAAGCACGUGGGGACAGCUGGGUCCCGGAGCUCCAUGAACUGCUGGCUGCAGUGGAAUGUGGCCUUGUCUGGUGGGCCGUUGAGAGCCCCUGCAAGUUUGUGAGUAGAGAAGUGACCUGUCAGGAGUGACACAGUGGAACUCAGAAUGGAGGGGGAUUUGGCGGACAGAGAAGAUCUUUGGAGGAGAUAAAUAUUUGGAAGCUACUGAAAUAGUUUAGAAUAUCAGACAGGGUCUGAAUUAGGGCAAGGGCAACAGCUGUGAAGAGGAAGGGAAGUAUAUGAGCAUAAUCAAUUUUGACAACAAAUUUGAUAAGAGCAAGAAAAGAGUCAAAGGUAACUUCAGGAUUUCAAAAGGAGAUAUUAAAAACCAAAGCUAGAAACUAGGAGAUAAGCAAGACGGUGGGAAAGUGUUCAAUAGCCCCCCAAAUGCAGAGUUGAGAUAGAUCGCUUCCCUGUGACUAUUUCAGUGCUCUGUUGUGAGUGGACAAAAAAGGAGGGAAAAAUUAGACUUUAUAUCAAACAGUGCUGUUACUUUUUAGCAGCACUGGAAGUCUCUAGCAGAGGAGAAAACUACACUAAAAAGCAAAAUGAAAUUUCUAGAUGGCAAUGAAAUUGAAUUUAUCUGUGGUUGCGGUUAGCCAUUGGCAUUGAUAAUCACCACACAGCGGUAUUUUCUUUGAAGGUAGAUAGUUAGCACUCUCUAAACUAGAAAUUGCCCCCAUUUUAUCCAUUAUGACUCCGAGGCUUUUACAACAGAGCCAUAUAACUUCAGUCACCAGGGAGUUUUAGAACACUGAAGUUAGAAUGGAACCAUCACCGCUACUCUAUUAAUGUUGUAUCACUAUUCAGAUGCAGUUUAUUGCAGGGAACAGCUUAAACUCAAAUAUACUAGCAUCUAUACAAUCAUGACAACACUUAUUAGUUGGUACAUAACGUAUGGGCAGAGGCUGUGCUUGCCGGAGACUAUCUGUCUUUCAGGCUCAAGAAGCAAUGGCGAGUCAGCUGCUGUCGUGCCACAGUCUCUGUUUAUUAUGUUCUUAUUAUCUUUCUUAUUAUGAAAGGAAAGAGCUAAAUGUGUUCAUGUGUUUGCAGGAUGAUAGACAACUUAACCAUGUCAUAGGGCAACAGGAAGGACAGAAGUGGAGGGAAAAAGAGCAAGCAACUUUUCUUCUAUUCGAUUGGGAAGGAGUUUGGAACUGCAGACCCGUCAGCUAUAAGGAAGUCUGGUGUGAAUGCCCAGCCUUGCCCCAGAGGGGAAUGGGUCCUCACUGAGUACUCCUGCAUCCACCUGCUUUCCCAUCUCCCCGUUUGUACAGAAAAGAAGAUAAAGACAUUAUUUAAUUAUCCUCUUUGGGAUAUGAAAGUACCACGUGGAAGAUGGAGGCCAACUAUUUCUUCUUCAGGAGAGUCAAAAGAACCACAUUGAAGAAGAGGUUCACAACAGAUGCUAAAAAAUCUAAGGGUGCUCAUGGCCUGAAUACGUUUCCAGGCAGAGUUUGUGAGCAGAGUUCACAAAGGUGCGGAUGAAGACCGUUCGCUGGGCUUCACUAGUACAAAGACAGGCUGACAGUGCAAAGACGAAGAGGAACGGUCCCAGCCAUCAGGGAACUCAGCAGCUUGGAAGAUACUAAACAGCCACUCCUCCAGGAUCUUCUAGUUAGGAAAUUGAAGGCUCCGUCAUUGCUAUAGGCAUUUCAAGCUCGGCCAGUAGGCUCUGUAUAUUGACAGAGAUGAGAAAGACUGCUAUAGGUUAUGGCUCGUGUCCCAAGUUGUUGGGAAGGAACCUCUGGUUGCAGCAGGACUGACUGUACAAUUUGUGAGCCCAGUGUGAAAUGAAAAUGCAGGGCCCCUUGAUCAAAAAUUAUAAAAAAAUCUCAAGACAGCGCCAGCAGAGCAUUAAAACAAGCCCCAAGUCCCAGGCGCCACACAGCCUCGCUCUUCUGCAGUUCAGCUCUUCCUUUUACGUUCCUCUUCUGGCUACCUCAUUUAUCCUUCCGUAAACCUUCACUGAUGAGAGAUGUGGUAACCCAAGCAAGUCUAUCGUUCUUGCAACUAAAAUGAACCAGCACACUUAGGACACGACAGGGUUCCUGCUGUCAUUUCUUCCUCUUACCUUGUACCGUCUAAAAAUUGCAGGGAUGUAUUAAAAUGCUUUCUACUCCAUGUUAUUUUAGGUAAUAUUUAAUUAGGUUUUUAUGCUUUAAUACGAUGUCUGAUGUUCUGGAUCGUAUCCUCUAAUUUUUUCUACUAUAAUAAAGUUCCUGACACUAGUUUAGGAUGGACUGCAUCCUCUUCAUCAGAAGCCUUUGUCUUCCUUCUGCCUAAACUUCUGCCCCAGGCUCAACAAUCCUCCUGUGCAGUCUCCUUCCGUAAUCUCCCCUUCUGCAGAAUAAAAAGAACUUUGUAAAAGUA